rnacentral:tRNA from 32 species
GGGCUAUUAGCUCAGCGGUAGAGCGCGCCCCUGAUAAGGCGAGGUCUCUGGUUCAAGUCCAGGAUGGCCCA